rnacentral:pre_miRNA from 1 species
CCAGGGGCCCCAAAGUGCUGUUUGUGCAGGUAGUGCGUGUGCAGCAUCUACUGCCGAGGCAGCACUUCCAGAGCCCCCAG